CGUAGGGGGCAAGCGUUGUCCGGAAUCAUUGGGCGUAAAGAGCGUGUAGGCGGUCCGGUAAGUCGGCUGUGAAAGUCCAGGGCUCAACCCUGGGAUGCCGGUCGAUACUGCCGGACUAGAGUUCGGAAGAGGCGAGUGGAAUUCCCGGUGUAGCGGUGAAAUGCGCAGAUAUCGGGAGGAACACCUAUGGCGAAGGCAGCUCGCUGGGACGUUACUGACGCUGAGACGCGAAAGCGUGGGGAGCAAACAGGAUUAGAUACCCUGGUAGUCCACGCCGUAAACGAUGGGCACUAGGUGUGGGAGGUGUCGACUCCUCCCCGUGCCGGAGCUAACGCAUUAAGUGCCCCGCCUGGGGGAGUACGGCCGCAAGGCUA
rnacentral:rRNA from 1 species